GACCAGAAGCCCCCGGGGCGAGGUCCUGGGCCUCCAAGGCCGUCCUGGCAUCGAUGCCUGUGCACUACCUGGGAAAGCAUCCUCUCCGUCUGGGCCGUAGCAAGCGCGUCUCGUCCGGUCGGAAGGGCCAAAUGCUGGCAGCUGCCUCUGGGGCGUCCGAAUGGCUCCAGGGACCGGCUGGCCGUGGCCGGCACCCGUAGACUCCAUGCUGUCAGAGACCCAAAGCUAAGAAGUUGAAGAGAAUGGUCAGGGUUUGUGAGGGGUUGUGCCUGACCCCCCUCCCUCCCUCCCCCGGGAACCUGGACCUCCUCCGUGCUUUUGGGGGAACACCGCUCGAGCGUCGAGCCCUGGGUCACCUGUCAGGGGCUUCGCCAGGACCCAGCUGGCUUUGCCGCCCAUCCCACGGAGGACCCUGGGGGUCCCCUUCAUGGGAUCAGCAAUCUUUCCAGCCGGCACAGCUGUGCACCCGGGGCGCCUCUCCCUACUUCGGGGGGCUCUGAUUUCCAGACACUGCCCCCAGGCUGUCCCGCUUCCCAGAUGGGGUGUGGCCCUUGUCCGGACCCGUGGCCCUGAGUAAAAUGCGCCUCUGCUGUGAGCACGGUGAACAAUGAACGAUCAGUCCACCCAUUGACCUGGUUUCUGAGACACCCCUUCUGGAGCCCUCUGCCUGCCGGCCGCCCCUGCUGCCAGCCCCACCCUCCUCUGCCGUCAUCCUGGGAGCCCCUCCUCUCUCCUGGGCUAGAUUCCUCCCACAUCUUCCUCUUUUCUUUUUUUGGAAAAAAAAGAAGCCAAAAUUUUA